AAAUCGACCUCAGAGGCAGCCAGAGGCGAGUGAAGUCGAUGGAGCUGCUGCCAAAAACGAGGCCUGCGACUGAAGCCAGCGAUGGUGAGUUAAUCUAAGCCUGGAUUUAUGGCAGCGGAGACAGCACGUGGCCUGGGACAUCCACGCUACUGCUCUGCAAAGGAGGUCUGGGACACUGAGAGAAUGCAGCUGGGAACUGACACAAGCAACCCUGCCAAGGAGCAAGGUAAACCACUGUGCUCAUCACCACGGGCUAUACAGCUACAGGAAAGCAGUUCUCUCACAGGUGGAGCAGCUCUAUUGGCAUGGUGAGGUGUACCACCUUUAGGUGGUAUUUUAAAGGGAUGCUGGCUCUGCUCCACCUGUGCCCGUCAGGCUUUCCUGUGAAAUGGGUACCGAUUUGAUGGAGGAUGCAUCCAGCAGCAAGCCAUCAUCCUGCUGGGGAGGAUGAGCACUGCCUGAGCCUGGACGCGUCCACGAGCCUGCCUGGCAGAUGGUGAACGAGAUGGCAAGUCAUCAGAGAGCUGUGCAGAGAAACUUGCCAAAAGGUGGUUCUGGUACAAGCUCCAGGUGAGCCGCCUGCAGCAGUGGAGUCAUGCGAGGGCAAAGGGUGUGAACAUGAGUCCUGGUGGAGAGGAGAGCUGCCUGAGCCGGAGAAGCGGGCUGGGAAGUGCCGGCUCCUGCGGCAGGGUGGUAAGCCACGAGCGGGGAGCAGCCCUGCCAGCUGCUGCACUGUGAGAGGGAAAGUAAACAGGGCUGGCGGAGGCAUCAGAGGCUGAACUUCGUGAACUCCUACCCGAUGGAGCUACACCAACAAUUAACUCAGUGCAAUUACUUGUGCAGGAGUGCACUGGAAAUUAUUGCAAGAUGGAUCAAGCCAUUAGCAAUAGAAAAUACAGCAUUGCAAAACUCCAAACGCUGCCUUCCAAGUGUUAUUCACCCACUUUCCACUGAAAUUAAUAGAAAUAAUAUAAAUAGGGUGCUUGGAUUCCUGCCGGGUCACUGAAACAAGCAGCAGAGGCAUAGCCUCUGGAUGUGCCUGCUCAAGAGUAAACUGUCAGUGCUGAGUGGCGAGAGAUGACUUAGGCUGGAAACAGUUCUUGUGCUUCUGCUUUCCCCCAAACUUCUGCUGUUGACAACAUUUUGCUGUUUCUCUUGGCAAAUAUAUUUCUCUAGCUUCUGUUUGGGGAAUGUUGGGGCUUGCUGCUGCUACAGAAACUUCAGUUUUCCUAUGGAAACCUAUAAAUUUUCUGAUUCAUGUUUCCAUCAAGUUUAGUCCUGGGUAAACAUUGUGUAACGUUAGCAUUCAUCAGUGAACUUGCACAAUCCCCUUGAAAAAAUAUUAAAGAAAAAUACUGUUUCCAGUCUAGAAUGAAUAUUACAGCCAAAGAAAAGAUCUUUUAUGUAAAACAGAAUUUCCCUCUCUUUCAGAAAUUAAUGAUCUAUUCACAAGUAUACAGUUUACUUUUCAGUGUAUUACCGCAUGAUUCGUGAAGUGCUGAUGCAGUGAAGGCUAACUGCUGCACUCUUUCUGAGGAGCUGUCUGCCUGCAUUGACAUUUACAUAGAACUUAGCCUUUUUGUAAAGCAGGACCUUUACGUGCCUUUAUCUUCCUACUUGUGUGUUUCCGUUCCCAUCAGUCACCCCUUCUGAGAGACAGCUGCAUUAGUUCUGAGCUUGUAUCUAAUUAUGCAUCACAGCGCAGUUACUAAAGAAGCAUAUGAGGUUUAUGAAACAUCAUUUUAGGAGGUGCUCCAAACAGAGAAGAGAUUAUACAAGUCACUGUUUCCAAAGGGGAUUAUGGAAAAGCAGGCUUCAGCUGGCAAAAAAGACCAAACUGUUGGACUGUGCUCCCUGCAACAGUGGCGGAAGAAGAGAUCCCAUCCCCAGCAGGGCUGAGCACCUGCCACUGCUGCCGGAAAAGCAGAGAAGGCACAGGGCAUCCCAUGGGAUCAAGGAACUGGAGGAGCAGCACAGGACAGGGAUUGCUUCCAACUAAAGGAAUCUGCUGUAUGUGAGCAAGGUCUAGCAGCAAAGUGUGGAGUCCAGGAAAUGAUUUCUGGCAAGGAGUAUAAGCUUUCCUUUUGAGAGGAGUGCAGUUAUUGCUCCAUUGUUCUCAUAGUUCCCUCCUAACUUAGCCUUGGCUGUGUCUCCAGUGAGAAAGUCCUGCUGGGAAAAUAAAGGAAUUUAAGAGCACGGGGGAAAAAAUAUCAGAAGUCAUGUAAAUCAUUUCAAGAAGUUAAUUUAAGAGCUAAGAACAUGAUAAUAGCUGUAUAUUUUUGCUUUAAAAGGGCCUAACGGUAGUGAAAUUAAGCAGUGGAAGUUUUUGGUAGGAACUAUGUGAAAAUAUAAAUCUCUGUAUGUUAGCAAAUGCCAGGGUCUAACAGCAGAGCACCUACUGAUUUACAUUUUCUUGUUUACUUUGUUCAAAAUAUUUAGCACCAGGCCCGUGAUCUGUGUUUCGAAGAAAGACAACAAAAAUUCUCUUGUUCCUACCCUGCCAUAGAGCCUGAUUUUCCAGUCACGUGGCAGGUUUUCUGUGAAACUAAAUCCAUGGACUCGAUUGAAGCAUUUAUACCAGGGAGAGCAGAAAAUCAAGCCCAUAGGCUAACGUUUUCAAAACAUAUCUAAAAUUAGGUGCCUAUUUCCAUAAUUAGGAAUUUCAGUAGAGGUGAGCAGGUUUUUAAAAAUGCUAUGGAUUCUGCCAAAGUCAAUGGGAUCUGAAGAUUAAUUUUCCUUUUAAAAUCAGGUUGUUCUUAUUUAAAUGCCCAAAUAUUGCAGGCCAGUGCUGAACAUCCUGGGUUGAAGGUUUUCAUUUCCUAUCCCUUUCUGUAACUGUGUCAGUAUGUACCCAGUACACAGAGUCUCAUCACGUAGUGCUCUGUAUUAUAUGAAUAUAGUCCAUCUUGCCAGACUUUGAUACGACAGUCUGUUUGGGGAUUCAAAAUGAAAAGAUUAGAGGAAUUUAUUUUCCUCUCUUUGAUCCUGAGAUGAGCCAAAACGUAACUGGGAGAGGCCUAAGGGCUGCUCAAAAUUAUGCUGGUGAGAACAGUAGUGGAGGAACUUGUGCACAGGCAAAGAAUAACUUGUGAUAAGCACAGAACAGAACCACCUCCGUGGCUCCCACCAACAAGAUCUUCCUGCCUCUCGGGUAAGGGUGAAAGGAUCCCGUGGAUGAGCUCUGGGUGCGCUGCCUUACUGCCCCUGUAGUAUCUCUGUGACAUCACAGGCCGUGCUGCCUGGAAACUCU